rnacentral:misc_RNA from 1 species
UACAUUCUCUCCUUCCUUUUAAUUUCAUAAUUCAUUUAAUCAUCUAAUCUUUUAACUCCCCUUGCGCUCCUUGGUAUUCCUUGGAGCAUGCCUGUUUGAGUAUCAUGAAAUCUUCAAAGUAACUCUUUUGUUAACUCAAUUGGUUUCUACUUUGGUAUUGGAGGUCUUUGCAGCUUCACACCUGCUCCUCUUUGUUCAUUAGCUGGAUCUCAGUGUUAUGCUUGGUUCCACUCGGCGUGAUAAGUUAUCUAUCGCUGAGGACACUGUAAAAGGUGGCCAAGGUAAAUGCAGAUGAACCGCUUCUAAUAGUCCAUUGACUUGGACAAUAAUUUUAUGAUCUGAUCUCAAAUCAGGUAGGACUACCCGCUGAACUUAAGC